rnacentral:rRNA from 1 species
AAGCCCCAGUAAACGGCGGCCGUAACUAUAACGGUCCUAAGGUAGCGAAAUUCCUUGUCAGGUAAGUUCUGACCCGCAUGAAAGGCGUAAUGAUCUGGGCACUGUCUCAACAGCCCGCCCGGCGAAAUUGUAGUACCGGUGAAGAUGCCGGUUACCCGCGACAAGACGGAAAGACCCCAUGGAGCUUUACUGUAGCCUAAUAUUGGGUUUCGAUGUUGCAUGCACAGGAUAGAUGGGACUCUUGGAAACCAAGGCUUUGGCUUUGGCGGAGAGGCCGUUGGGAUACCAUCCUUGCGAUAUUGGAAUUCUAACCUGCGCCUUUGAAUCAAGGCGGGGGACAUUGUUAGGUGGGCAGUUUGACUGGGGCGGUCGCCUCCUAAAGAGUAACGGAGGCGUUCAAAGGUUCGCUCAGCUUGAACGGAAAUCAAGCAAAAGAGUGCAAACGCAGAAGCGAGCCUAACUGCGAGACUGACGGGUCGAGCAGUAACGAAAGUUGGAGUUAGUGAUCCGGUGGUAUGUGAGUGGAAAUGCCAUCGCUCAACGGAUAAAAGUUACCCUGGGGAUAACAGGCUGAUCUCCCCCAAGAGUCCACAUCGACGGGGAGGUUUGGCACCUCGAUGUCGGCUCAUCGCAUCCUGGGGCUGUAUUCGGUCCCAAGGGUUUGGCUGUUCGCCAAUUAAAGCGGUACGCGAGCUGGGUUCAGAACGUCGUGAGACAGUUCGGUCCCUAUCUGUCGUGGGCGCAGGAUAUUUGAUGGGAGCUGUUCCUAGUACGAGAGGACCGGAGCGGACGUACCUCUGGCGCACCAGUUGUUCUGCCAAGGGCAUAGCUGGGCAACUAUGUACGGAUCGGAUAAACGCUGAAAGCAUCUAAGCGUGAAGCCGACCCAAAGAUAAGAUAUCCCAUUGUUUCAAACAAGUAAGACCCCUUGAAGACUACAAGGUUGAUAGGCACGAUGUGUAAGUGGAGUGAUCCAUUCAGCAAGCGUGUACUAAUAGGUCGAGGGCUUGACCAC